GGACUACAGGGGUUUCUAAUCCUGUUUGCUCCCCACGCUUUCGCGCCUCAGCGUCAGUUACGGUCCAGAGAGCCGCCUUCGCCACCGGUGUUCUUCCCAAUAUCUACGAAUUUCACCUCUACACUGGGAAUUCCACUCUCCUCUCCCGUACUCAAGCCCUCCAGUCCCAAGCGCAAUUCCCAGGUUAAGCCCGGGGCUUUCACGCCUGACUUGAAGAGCCGCCUGCGCGCCCUUUACGCCCAGUAAUUCCGAACAACGCUCGCCCCCUUCGUAUUACCGCGGCGGCUGGCAC
rnacentral:rRNA from 1 species